rnacentral:rRNA from 1 species
GCUAGCAGCCAUUUUACCCUGUAACUCACAACUGACAGCCCACUGAAGCUAAGCAGGGCUGAGCCUGGUCAGUACCUGGAUGGGAGACCUCCUGGGAAGCUAUGGUUGCUGCUGGAA